rnacentral:rRNA from 1 species
UACGGAGGGGGCAAGCGUUGUUCGGAAUUACUGGGCGUAAAGCGCGCGCAGGCGGUUUCUUAAGUCUGAUGUGAAAGCCCACGGCUCAACCGUGGAGGGUCAUUGGAAACUGGGGAACUUGAGUGCAGAAGAGAAAAGCGGAAUUCCACGUGUAGCGGAUGAAAUGCGUAGAGAUGUGGAGGAACACCAGUGGCGAAGGCGGCUUUUUGGUCUGUAACUGACGCUGAGGCGCGAAAGCGUGGGGAGCAAACAGG